rnacentral:rRNA from 1 species
CACGUAGGAGGCGAGCGUUGUCCGGAAUCAUUGGGCGUAAAGAGCGCGCAGGCGGCUUGGCAAGUCGGGUGUGAAAUCCCGGGGCUCAACCCCGGGACUGCAUUCGAUACUGUCAGGCUAGAGGUAGGUAGGGGAGAUCGGAAUUCCUGGUGUAGCAGUGAAAUGCGUAGAUAUCAGGAGGAACACCGAUGGCGAAGGCAGGUCUCUGGGCUGAAACUGACGCUCAUGCACGAAAGCGUGGGGAGCAAACAGG